UAAAAUCCAAUAGCAGUCAAUUUACUCUCAAAAUCAAUACCCUAUAUUAAUUAUUAUUUUUUAUAUUUUGAGAUAUAAAAUGGAAUCAUAUCAUUUUUUCCCUCAUCUUGUGAAUUUUUUACACAUUAUGUCUACAAAUGUUAAUUUUGUAGCCGAGCAACACCUGCUUUCCACCACAACUACAAUUCAUGCAGAGAAUAACUUGUUUUCGACAUUUUCUAGAUCCGAUUAUCCAUUGGGUAACAUUUUAUGUGCGACAAGUCAACGACAACCCACCUGAAGCCGAAAAACUUCCUGACAUCCAGAUAUCUGAGGGAAAUGUGUCUGUGCCAUUAUUUCUACAUCGGCUAUUUGAUUACUUUAAAGACCGGGAUUGUCCAAAAGAACGUUUAUUCCUCAGCAUCUCAAAAUACUCAAGCGUGGAGGUACAUGUAUAAGUA